UCGCGGGAUUGUUUGGGAGUAAACGGCGGCAGUCACGUGGCCGGAUGUGACGUCAUUGCCAGUUUGUUUUUCCUGUUACAGUGAACCGAUGAGAUGAGCUCCUGUCUGCAGGGGGAGGAGAACUUCCGUCGGUGCUGCCAGAGCCUCCUGAAGAUGUCUGAUCAGUUAGGAGACGGCUGGAGUUGGGAGCCUGUCCAGGGCUCAGAGGAGGGCUACAUGAGAAAGACUGCCCUCAGGUCAGUCUUCAUCAAUUCCACGGCGACACGGAACGGCGACAGCUCAGAGGGCGCUGCGGCCGAUGAACCGGAUGUUUCUGGCGCAAAUGAUGACUGUGAUCGUGAAUAUGAAGAAGAUUUCAUGUCAGGAGGCAGCAGUCAUGUGCUUUGCUACGAGUACCACAUCCUGUACUCCUGCAGCUACAUGACCCCUGUGCUCUAUUUCAGAGCCUCCACUUUAGAUGGGAGGAGUCUUUCUCUCGAUGAAGUUUGGAGUUCUGCCCAUCCAAAUUUCAGGUUGCGACUGCAGCACAGCCCGUUGACAACUAUCACACAGCAGGAGCAUCCUCUGCUAGGUCAGCCUUUCUUCAUGCUCCAUCCCUGUCGGACAGAGGAAUUUAUGAGACCGGUGCUGCAGUUAGGGAAAGGCCCACAAAGGCAAGUGAAUGACGUCUUGACGUGGCUCAGCGUGGUAGGCCCUCUGGUGGGUUUGGAUGUUUCCCUGAAGUAUUCCACCCUGCAGCCUCAACUUACUGAGCCCGAAGCCGCCGCGCGGCCCCCUUCGCCGUCGUGACUGCGGAGGUCACUCGGAGGUCACCCGAUCCGCCGUCACGCCGCAGCGCGAUGCGCGCCGACCCGUGUUUCGCAUCCGUCGGCCGUCGUUAACCUCCAAACCCGACUCGGUAUCUACGCCUCGUGGAGCCGUCGCCUUAUCGUGCCGGAGGGGUUUGUGUGUCCCAAUGAUCCGAGGAGCUAAGUAGGGUCGCCCAUGGGAAACACGUCCAAGUGUCUACUCACGACUGUAAAUCAGGUGGUCGGUGGGAUGGUCUUCUCUGAACAUCUCAGGAGGAAAACGAAGCAGGUUUGGUCGAAAAAGGGAAAAAGAUGCAGAAAAAACAAAAGAGGCGGAAGAAGAAAAAGGAUUCUUCACGCCUCGUUGGGAGAAUAUGACCGUCUCUCUCUCCCGCCUGUUUCCGGGAUCACUAGCAAGUUCAGAGAACUCCCAUUUGGCUGGGAUCGUAUCUGGUAGCUCAGCAGCAACUGUUCUGGAGGCUUAGCAGCGGCGAUCCACAGAGGCUAGGAAGCCGGAUCUCCAUCUCCACGGCAACUCCUGAACUUGAUGCAGGGGAGUCAUUGAGGAGGGCUACACUCGGCGCGGCGGACUCUCGACUCGGCGCUGCCAGGGUCAGAGAGGAGCGUUGCGAAGUGGCAGGGGCUGUUGACCAUAUCCCAUGGAGGUCAGAACCAAGCUCUGCUUUGUAGAUCCGAGGAGACAGACUGACAGUCAGGGGAUCCUCGUCUACCUAAAUAUCAACGGGGUGGAUUGGGAACUCGUGUUGCGGGCACGAGCAGGAACGGUGGCACGUAAUCUCGGGUGUAAUCCCACGGAAACACAGCUGGAGCGAGAUGAACAUACGAAUAUUUGCUUCAUGUGGGAAAGGAACACUUGGAUUCAUCAGUGAGGACACACGACAAACACGCAGCACGUACGUUGUAUGACGCCUCAAAACCUAUUUCCACCCUUGCAUUUUCGAUGCCGCCUUUCCUCGUCAGCGUCCACGUCACUGCUCCCUAUCAAACUCAAAAGGUCAACCUAGGUUUUGGUGAUCCACUUGUGACCUUAUUACUGAUUAGAACAUUUCAAUGGCAGUCCGUCAAAAUAUUGAAUGAAAACAAGUCUGUUGUGAGUGUGACUAAGCGGCUAGCUCGUGUUACGGUGUGUGGACUGAAAUAAAACAACAACACCAUCGUAACGGCGGACUGAAUAUUUUCAUUCGGUGUGUACCUGAACUCAGAAUAAAGCUUUUCUCAAAAAAAUAAAGGCUGCGCUUGCCGUCGGUGAUAAUUGGCGGAAGAACGAAACGUGCGGUAUGACCUGGCGGUGGAUCGGACCUGACAGGCAAUCUUCCGUAACGCUUUGAAUUCUAAAUUACAGCCGUGCUACUGAACGUCAAGGUCGAUUCCCUCACGCAGUAUAAUGAAAUGAUUCCAUUUGACACCUCCAAUCGGUGACUCUGGAAGCGCGCCCGCCAGACCGGUCGGCUGUCACGCUGGCUUGAAAAGAGCCGUGGAAUCAAAGUGAAAUUAGCAGGGCACAUCCAUCAGAGAAUAUUGGAUUUUAUCCAGAAAACAACAAACAGCUCUAUAUUCUUUGUUUGUCGACAGUUUCAUGUCCUUACUUGAACGCGUCAUUCAUCCAAUCUAAUUCAUCAAAAGAAUACAUUUGUAACAUGAAGUAAUGCAACCAUGUUGAUGUGGCAAGCAAUCAGUCAUUUGGCUCCUCCAACCUUUCCAUACUCCACCACUUUAGCGCCCCCUCUUACCCAUUACCAUCCCCCCCCAAAAUAUCCAAAUAGGUUCCCUCUUCCUCCCGCCCCCCUGCACCCCCACAACCCAUCAACCCCGUGUCCUUUGUGUGCAGUGGCAUCAGGCAAAAAAAAUGUCACAUGCAGCCAGCCUUUAAAGGCGCUACCGCUACGCUCGCCUCUCCGUAAUCCUCUUAAGAGUUAAGAGUUGCUGUUGGUCACGGUGAACAGCCAGGUAAAGCUCAAGUCUCCGAGGUCGGCCUUGCCAGGAACUUCUGCGUUUUGGCCUGCGCUGCCCCUUGAGGUCAAAAGCCUCUAAACCUCUAGGUGGCGCUAGUGAGUGCUGGACUCGACUCACCCCGAGCACUAAGAAGCUCCUUUUGACAUACAUUACACAAUCAAUGAUUGUUCUGUCUGUUUCUGCCAUCUGUUUUAAUGUUGUUUAACAAUCGUUGGCGCAGAAUUCGGGGGGGGGGGGGGGGGGGGGAAUCAAGGGGCUUUCAAUGAUA